rnacentral:misc_RNA from 1 species
AAAUCAAUACAUGUACACCAAAAUAACUUUCAGGUAUGUGAUAAUGAAAAUACAAAUUUUUGCAUUUGAAGUAUCAAAUAUUAAUCAGGUUGAACUAUAUUAUGUCAAUCAUCCCAGGCACAAAUGUAAAGAGGUAACAAAUACAUACAAUACUUAGAAAUGAAACCUUAUGAGGUUUGGGGACUGCACAGCUUUUCCAGCUCUGUGACUAACUUAAUCUUCAAAAGAGUGGUGUUGACAAGGACAAAAAAUCCUUUCUCUUUCCAAUGAAAACCUGAAUCAAAAUGGGUAGAAAGGUAAAAUACUCAAGAUGAGAAAUUUGGGUUAUUACAUGAACAGCGCCCUCUCAAGAGAAUUUUCUGAUAUCGAGAGUCAGGAAUACAAAAGUUUUUUAAAUACAAUGAUACCAAUGUACAGGCCCUUUCCUAUCCUUUCGUCAAUUGUUACUUCUUAUAGGUUACCAGAUAGGUUAAUCAAAAUCUGUUUAGUAACCUUCGAUGAGUUAUUAAACAAAAUAAACCCUGCGUCAAUUAAACAAAUUUCCAAAACUAAACACUGUUCUUACUUAUUGAAUUCUUAGUGAUUAAUAGGUCAUAUAACGCAUCUUGUAGUUCAAAUUUAUUCAACAAUUCAUUCCCUGUUCUCAGUGAAAGUAUUUUCUUUCAUGACGUAAAGAAAUCCCAACCAGACGAAAAGAAAUGAGAGAAGAGCAGCAAAGUGAAGAAAGCGGAGCAUCAACACCUGAGGAACUCAAAUAGAGAACGGAGCAACCUCCUGACAAAGACAAAACUCAGCUUUUUUCGUAAACUACAAUGCAAUAUUGUAGUGGUCCUACGCAUCAUCUAACUAAACGUUUGAAAACAAAUAACAACAUUAAUUCAUGUUUUGAAUUUACCAAUUUGUAGUUGUUGAAAUGAAACGACUAACAUUUUUCCAAUGCUGUAUAACAACAUCUGUGUUAUCUGCUAAGAGAUAAACCUAAAUGAGGAAAACACCAUUUUGGCAGUUUAAGAUAGGUGAGACAAAUCUUUGUCCAAAAUCCCCUACUGAAUGGACCGAAAACACUUUGUUUCCAACUGAACCCAGAGACAUCUGUCUCAUCCUUGAAAGAACUGAUCAACAGCAAGAUCGGCAUCUAGCCCCCACAUCAGCACCUUUACAUCAGGAGAAAUUUCCAGAAAUUCCAGGUGGGUAUAUUACACAUAAAACCAACACUGCCGCAUUCUAUAAACAUUAAGGAAUCAACCAUUUGUUCUAAUCACAGAAAUUUAUUUUCUAGGCAUAGUGCAAUGUCUUCAACUCCUAUUUUCAGAUUUUAAGUAUUGUUAGUAAGUUUGUUGGAUUUUUGUCACACUAUCUUUACAUGUUCAGUCUAAAAACUCAGACUUUGCCCUUGAAGGUAUGCAUGUUUGCAUUUUCUUUUCAGCUCUGUGACUUGCUUAUAUUCAAUGACCAUGAAAUUCACCAGGACAAGAACAUCGCAAUUAGUCAGUCUUCUGAUGGCCUGCUGGGUGGUGGACAGAAAGGUAAAUAGCCAUUGGAGAUAUCAGUUUUUAAGAUGGAAAUUUAAAAUCCCCUCAUCGUAGGUAAUUCCCAGCAGGAUGCAUAUUAUCAUCAGCCCUAAUGAAAUGAAAACAUAAUUUGAUAUAAACAAGGAAAAUCAUAAAGGACUUCUUAAAUUACAAAUACUCAACACAAUCAGUAAGCUGCUGGUUGUAAUCUUAUUAGUCCAUUGUUACAUGAAAUUAGUACCAACAGGACAUCAAAUAUUUCUAGAACUGCACUCUAAUAGUCCAAUUUAAAAAGGUCAGCUGUGUGCAUUAAGUGCAUUACUUUCUUCUCACCUCAAAACAAUCGGUCAAAAGUCUGAGAAUCUGAAAGGUUUCUGAUGUGAAGUUCACAUAAAAAUGUAGCGACAAAACAAAUUUAAACAGCAAACAUCAGGCUCAUGCGACCCAACCUAAUCCCAUACUUCCAACAGUACCACCAUCCCAUUCACCCCACCAUACUCCAAACAGCCACACCAAGUAAAACCCACCGACCAAAUUAAUGGCUGACUCGCUGACCAACCAAGUAACUACAAACUAACUUGUAAUACUGAUAUGAUUGAAGAUGACAGCAUUAUUUAUUACAUCUUGACAAGAUACUUGGGGUGAUAUAAAAAUGGUCUACCCAAGCUUGUCAAACUGAAAACUUAUCCCCUCAGAAUGACAAGUUAAAUCCUAUCGUUUUGGACAUUAUUUGAAUAGUGUGGGCAAAGCAAACUCUGUCUUUGCAAAAGACUUCCUGGUGUUGGAUGACAUGUUGUCUUUAAUAUUUCUGGCUUCCUUACUUCGUUUUUACUUUGUUUUGUCCACAUAAAAGGCAAUGCAGAUAUACAGUCUACAAUAUCACUGUAAUAUCUUUCAAAGAGGUUCAAUUUGCUUUUGGCAGACAAAAGCCAGAUUGAUGAUCCACUCUUCCAGGACCUAUCCAUGAAAGUAAAAGAAUCCUGGGAAAAGUUGGCCAAGUGCCUAGGAUACAGUGAAGAUGUCAUGCAAAUCCACACCAUCUCUGAAGACAAAAAAGAAUGCUGUCAUCACAUGUUUCUGUCUUCAUUGAAAAAGCAGACAAAUCAUGAAGCAGGACUCAAGAGGCUAGAAGAAGCAUUAGCAAAUGUUGGUUUUGCUGAAUUGUCCUCACUGGAGCCAGGUGAGUCUAUAUGCACAUCUUGAGAGUUUGUGUUGGAAUGAGAGCAUUUUCAUCAGAUCAUCUGUGUGUAAAGCAGCUUUCAAUCCCUAAGAAAGGCCACACUAUGCCAUGUCCGAAAAAAUCCUGAAAGCGUUUUACGAUACGAAAAAAAGGCAAGACGUUGAGUCAAUUUAUAGACUACUUAAUUCAAAAGCUUUUUUCACCUUCAAUAAAUUAAAUUGAUUAAAAGACAAAAAAAUAAAAAGAACAGAGGGUUUGCAUUCAUUACUAUUUUCAAUAGUAUAGGGUCCACGUGUACAUCAAAGGGUUAUGGUAACCUUACAUAUCAUUGAACACCUUUCUUUUAAAGAAUCAGACCAAGAAGAUAUCCAGCAAGGGCCACUGAAAUCAAAUGAGGAUGAGAAAGCCGGAGCAACUUAAUCCCCCAAAACAAGACACUGCAUGGAUGAAAGAACAAAGUGUGCAGAAUGGGACUAAAUCAUUGGAGGAAGAGAUACUGAGAAAGGAGCAAGUUUAUGAUGGAGACAGGACCCAGCUACAGAAACAUCAUCAAAUGCCGGAGGAAAUAUGGCAGAGCUUGCAGGGGAGAAUGACAUCAUCAAGAGAACAUGGAUAGGGCGUUUAGAGUCCUUCAAAACACCUCACAAAAGGAAAAAACAGCAAGCAUCAGCCAACCACCCGGACAUGUUAAAAAGGGGGAUGCCAUUUCUCAAAGAACAGGAGGUGAAGAAGUCCACACAACGGAGCCCACAGGUGGAUAAAUUACGUAAAAGCCCAAGUGAGAUACAAGAAGAGGCAGCAGUUGAAGAGCUGCCAUCAUAUGCAGAGAAUUCAGAAAUUAAGCUCAUUUCAGGAUAUCAUUCCUUCUCGACCCCAACUGGAAGCAGUUGCUGCACAAAGACAAGGAUCUUUGCCACCUGGGUAUGUGGAAGCCAUGAAUGUCUCUGGUGAAAAUAAUACUGCCGUUGUGGGCAGUUUUUUCAACCAGUAUCAAUCUUCAGUUGGACUAUACCAGCAAGUGCUUCAGGUAAAUAAUUUACUAUACCAGCAAGUGCUUCAGGUAAAUAAUUUUCCAAAUCAGUAUAUGUUUGCAUGCUUUCCACUUUUUCCAUUUCUCAUUGCUCCUCGCAUGAAAUAAAUAAUACAAUUGUACAUGCACUAGGUGGUACAUAACAUAAAAUAAUGUAACAAACAAUUAACCAAUAAAACCUAUCAACUUGAGUUGCACUUACAAACAAAUAAAACUUGUAAAAACUGACGCUGAAAUUCAGAGGUACAUCUUAUUUUAACAUUGAAAAUGUUAAAAUCCUAAAAUAAAAAAAUUCCUCAGAAAAAUUUCUUUCCAAUGGAGCUUUCUUUACGUAUUGAUGGUCACGCCAUGCACCAUGUAGAGACUUGAGUAGCAUUACCCAGGACUGCAGGAUGCUUUAAAAAUCCCAUCUUUUGUUUCUGAUGGUUUAUGUUAUUAGGAGAUGGCUAAACAAACCCGCCAACUCAACAUACAUAUAUGCCACUUCCCCCCCCCCCCCGAUGAUUCACUGAAGUAUUGUCGGAAGCAGAUUAUCAAGUACUACCAGGAAACAACCAGCACCAUAAGCAUGCACACCCCUUGGAUCCUUCCAGGACCAUGGAUACUGAUGAGCUGUUUUUCAUUUACUGCUCAAUUGGUGUUACCUUCCUAUAAGCCUGCACACCCCUUGGAUCCUUCCAGGACCAUGGAUACUGAUGAGCUGUUUUUCAUUUACUGCUCAAUUGGUCUUACCUUCCAGUUGUAGAGGAACAAGUAAUUCUAGCUUCAUGGUUAGAUAUAUUCAGGCCAGAAAAAGUAGGUAAUUGUAUCCCUUCAAGUGAGGCAAUAUGUGGUAAGAAAAUGUUUUUGUUAAUUUUGGAUAAACAUCUCCCGGCGCAAAUCCAUCCUUGGACAUUACUUUUUUGUUAAAAGUUACCAAUGCAAGCAGUGUGCUCAAUCUAAUGUUUCCACUAACUAAAUUCAAAUUUUACCACCAGGCACAUUACUGACCAAGAUGAGAUUGAUUGAGCUGACUGAACACUAUGAAGAAGAAACUGCCUUCUUAUCGGAUGUAUUAGAUGAAAUUCCUCCUCAUGUUCUUUGUUCUCCUUGAGGUGUAUUAAGAGUUAAGGAUAUAUUGGAAAAAAGCAUCUUGACAAAAAGUUGUAUCUUAGUAACAACAUGACCGCACAAGGUUGGGUAUGCCCUCAAUGAGUACUCACAACUCGCAUACAUUGAAGUAUUGGGGUAAAUAUCCAGCACUGUGAACACAUGCACCAGAAAGUACUUUGCAGAAAAUGUAAGGUCAGCAGAAGAAGUGAUAUCUAAUCUGAAAUGCAGUAUAUGUGGAAAUAUAGGCCCCAAUGAUGCUGGUCUUCAUAUGCAAAACUUGGGAAAAGCAGUCAAAAUUACCUGAAAGAACAACAUUGCUAUUUAGGGAAAUUGUUGAGAUUCUUGUCAUUUGCCAUUGCAAUGAAGGCAAGGAUAAAAGGAGCUGAUGAGAUCAAGUUUGUGUGGAUUAGGGCAAGUCACCCUGGAUGGGUUACUAGACUCUGAUGGUCAAAGGUCCAUUUUCUCUGCCAAAGAGUAUAUUUAAAGAUGGAUGUGGAUUGGGUUUCCUUCAACAGGAAAGUUCACGUAAUGGCCAGAGUUGUAUAGUGACCUUCCUGCACAAGUCCUUCCAAGAAUAUUGCGCAGGGGUCAGCUUUGCCAAUUUGACAUACAGAGAAAGGUUCUGUGAGAAGUUGAAGAAAAUGUGCAAAAGUUGCAAAAAUGUGAAAGCAAUGCAGCGACCCCUUCAGUUCACGUGAGGCUUGGCAUCAAACUCCCCUGCUACCAGACUCAUCUUGAAUCAUGUUAGAAAUCUGCGCCUGGGACCACAUGAGUUGAACGCAAUGUGUUUGAACUAAUUAUUGUUGUUUGAGUCCGAUUCUGAUGAAUUUAUUGAUAUGUGUGGAACAGUCAAAGUGGUGUGUAAUUGGGAAGAUUUGACGUCACUCCUGUAUUACUUGAAGUGUGACCCGCAUCCAUGUCAAGACACCGAGUAUAAAUUGCACUGUGACUCAUUUGAGGCACUGACAUUGUUGAGAGAUACAUGUAUUCUAUGGAGUGGCAAACUUAAGCCGGGCAGUAGUCAGGAUUCAAAGGGAUCCGUACUGGAAGUCAACUACACCGUACCUGAACAAGGGAAUCUGGAGAUGUUGCACCUGGAGAGAAAAUACUUGCAAAAAUGAAUGCUGAGCUUCGGACAAACUUCAGUUUAUACAACUCUUCCCACCUUAGAGGCAUGCAAAAUCACUGAAGACCGCCUGGCCAGUGACCCUUCCCUCGCUGACCGCACCACCCUCUCACCCAGCCAGAUCACCGACCUCAUCCGGCUCUGCGUAUCAUCCAGCUAUUUUCAGUUUCAAGGCCAGUUCUACGAACAGACGGCAGGGACUUCCAUGGGAUCUCCUAUAUCCCCAGUCCUCGCCAACAUCUUCAUGGAGGAAUUCGAAUCAUCUUCUCUUCUCACCGCCGACCGUAAACCCACCCUGUGGCUACGCUACGUAGAUGACACCUUUGUGAUCUGGCCCCACAGUCAAGAUGCACUUCAAGACUUCUUGGGUACCUCAACCAGCAGUAUCCCACCAUCAAGUUCACCAUGGAGCAGGAGGAAGAUGGUCAACUUUCCUUCCUCGACAUCCACCUUACAAGACACACAGACGGCACCCUCGACCACCGCGUCCACCGCAAGCCAACCCACACAGACCGGUACCUUCACCACAGGUCAUUCCACCACCCAGCCAUUAAGUCAUCGGUCAACAGUGCCCUCGUACGGCGAGCCUUCCAAAUCUGCAACCAAGACAACUUGUACCAGGAACUCCAACACAUCAAGACCGCCCUCCACCUCAACGGCUACCAACGCAUCAACCUCACCAAAGCCUCCUCCCAAGACGUUAGGGUCCUCUAUACCCGAAGUCACCCCACCCUCCCCGGCGUUAGGGUCUCCUAUACCCGAAGCCAAUCCUCCUGCCGCUACCAUUUGCCUCCCGUACCUUGGCCCCGUCUCCCACCAACUUCGGAGUAUGCUACAAGCCGCCAACAUAAAAGUGUUUCACUCGUCUCCCAACAAGCUCCAAGCCCUUUUACACUCCCACAAAGACAAGCAGCCCUCCACCACUCACCCCGGAGUUUACCGCAUUCCAUGCGGUCAGGUGUAUAUCGGGGAAACAGGAGGGAAGCCUCCCGACCCUGUAUCAAGGAACACCGGGCACAUGGCCGACGAGAAGAAUAAGACAAGUCGGCCAUCAUCAAGCAUGCCCACGACAGAGACCACAACAUCAAAUGGGACAAUGCAGAACUUAUCGCCCCCAUCAAAAACUGGAUGCCAAGAAGAAUCCGUGAAGCCAUAGAGAUUUUCCGUCACAACACCGUUCCCCAAGACAUCGGCUUCAAGCUCAGCGACAUCUGGCGUCCCCUACUCUCUCCAGUACACCACCCCUCCCAGGGAAGUAGGGUCUCCUAUACCCAAAACCCUCAGGCACCGGGUCCUCUUUACCCAGCCUAACCCCCCUUUCCCGCCCAAAGCAAAGCUUCAAAUCUUACUUAUCUUCCUUAAUGAGAAGUCAGCCUUUGAUAUUGAAUACAUAUUGGAACACCUAACCUAAGUAUCCAACCAAUUGCUAGAAGUCAAGGGGUGUGGCAGUUCACAGUGUCACCAUAACAAAUACGCUAAGGAAGUGCAGUAGGCUGAGACCUGUCAAUUUGGCUCAUAUCAACCUGAAUGGUAAGGUAAGCAGGCUAGCUGCUCUUAUUCCUCCAUCCUCCAUGUUGGUAUUGGAGGCACAUAGAUGAGAUGAUGACGUCCGUGAUCUGAUCAGCAUUCUCCCUGCUGGGCAUAGUUUGAGGAGUUUCCGUGUUCCCUGCAAUGCAUUCAGCUUGAAGGGAUUAAAGACCCUGACAGCCCAUCUCUGGGGCCUCCCACAGCUAUUCAGAUUCCAGCUUGAAUAUAAAGGUCCAGAUUCAGAUCAGGUUGAGAAGAUCAUUAUGGAAAAUAUUCCUUACUGUAGACCUUUUAGAAGCUUAGUUAUUACGUGAAAAUUUGCAUAUCAUUCAACAAAAUGUUGAUGCAUUUCACAUACAUAUAAGGACAUGCCAAACAAAGUCUUGGGCUUCUAUAACCCUGUUCACUCUUAAGGAACACGGAAAAAUCAGGCAGCACUGCAUUGAAAACUUUGCUGACAUUCAUCAUAAGCAAUUCUAGAAGCAACAAUGUCUUGAAUUGCUAAUUCAGUUAAAGCACCUAAACAUUACCAGAAAUCCUUAAAAUGCCCAUCCCGUGUGUGGCUUGUCUACUUCGUUACGCACACAUGCAAUACGUGGUAUUGUGUAACUAAGAGCAAACUCGGCGCGGUCUGUCUGUAGAAAUAUGCCGCUGAUUACCCGACAAAAAAGGAUUAAAUUCUGCGGGUUGAUGAACCCUGUUUACCCUAGUUUUAAGAAGAAGCGGCUGUACAACGUCUGCGUGAUGAAGAACCAACUGUGGCCCAUCUCCAGAGUUAUUUGUCGUAAAAAAAUGAGAGGUUUGUACUUGCCUUGUGUGUCUUGGUAAUGCUUGAGCUUGGUAGGGCCUAUUAAUGUAGGACAACUUUCAGUCGUGACACUGCAGUCACAGUCAUCUGGUCAUCAUGGUCUAGCCUACGCUAGCCUACACCCUACGUUAAUGAAAGUGUAGAACCAGACUACAAAACGCUGUUUCAGAACUUUUGCUGUCACCGGCUAACUAUCCACUGCCUAUUUUGUUUUGAAAUUUGAGUCACAGUCGUUUUUUUUUUAACUUUCAGGGCAACAAAUACCUCAUCAACUGGAAGAAUUGGCCCCUGACUGCUUGCUCUUUGGAACCAGAGAUCAACCUCAUCCAAGAUUUGAUCACAAGUUUUCAGCAUCCUGAAGUGAAAAACCGUAAACAGCUGGGACAUUUUUCACUGGUGCAAGCUUUCCAGAAAGUUCUCUGGUACAACCGAUCUGAAUUGCAUCCCGUUGAUGUUAGUUUACCACUAGACGUCUUCAGGCACUUUUUUGGAAACACUGGAGUUCCUUCUGCCAGAGUCAGAAGCUACAAGGAGUACCACAAGGAAGGUUUUAGCAACUAUGGAUUACCAAGAGGGUGACAACAUCUGGUCAACUCUGACUUUUAUGGACGGACUCUCGUGUUCCCAAUUUUAAUGCAACCAGUUUUACAAUGGUCUACAGAGAACUUUUGCAUUGUUGACGGAGAGGUACAGAGAAUCACUCCCUUUCCAGUGGAGAAAAUCUUGAUCCGGUGUUGUGCAGAUGCAUUCAAAUUGGACACACAAAUGUUCACUUCUUCAAAUGGAACAAGACAAGACAUAGUGGCCUCGACCGACAUGUAUGUGAUAUUGUCCAGUUCUAAAAAUCUUGCAGUCAGUUGUGGGCAGCAAUGUCACUCAGUAAACCAGUUUUGCAGACUGUGUUCAACCCUCGUUUUCAGAACAAUCAGUCAAUCAAAAAUUCCAACAUUCAUUUUCAGUUACUCUCCCAUUUCAAACAUGCCUUGAAUGGUUUUACAUUUGUGAUGGAGUACCCUUAAAGUACACUGAAUUGUUUGGAAAGUUUCUGUAUGAACAUUACAUACUUCCUUCGGAUGCUUCUGAAAGUCAAGAUAUAUGUUGUAUUUCAACUUUUCUGAAAGUAAUAAAAAAUUCAAACCUAGGGGGAAGGGGGUGCCCUAGCCCCCCAAAACCCCUCUCCCUAUUCAAUGUACCACUGCUUCAGAGAUGAGAUUGCACUCUGGCAUAUAAAGAGGGUUGCACUGUGGGGCUGCAUAUGAAUGCCAUAAAGACUUGGUUAAUGCCUGAAACCACAUGGUGCAGGUUGAGAUCCAAACAGAAGAUGGCAGCCUAGCUACUUGAAGUGAAAAAAAUUUAACUAUUUGGGAACUUGGGUUGAGAGCACAGAGUAGAACAUCAGCGUAUAACAGGCACAAGCAUGGAGAUCCUGCAAGAAACUAAGUAACAUAUGCAAAUAACCAUUACCCAAACAUAUCACCUAUUCCAAGCCACUGUUGAAAGUCUCCUGCUGUAUGUUGCAAAACCUGGACAGUCACUAAGAAACUUGGAAUGGCAAUGGGCGGACCGGUGCACACUAGUAACUGCACUGAACAUGACCUGGAAAAUGCACGAAUUAAAAAGAAUAGCAUGGGAAUGUCCAUUCUUGCUGUAAUUCCAAGUCAUGUCACACAAAAGAUCGUUUAACUUUGCAGGACAUGCACUAUAACUGGACUGAUGUUAGGAUACUACAAGAGGUAAUCACUUGGAUACCAAAACAAGGAAAGAGAUGACCUAUAAUAUGAAGACCUUCAACUUCAAGAAGACACAAGAUAUGAAACUCUAUGAAACGCAAGUGGAAAAUAUCAUGCAGGAUUGAUUCAUUGGCAAGCCAUAAUGGAUGCCCAUGUUUAACAAUAAGAGUCAAUGGAAGCAAAAGUAAGCAAUGUUCCAUGGGAUUACAAUGCAGCCUGGGACAUAUCUGAGCCCAAACUUGUACAGUGACCAUGUGUGCCGGAAUACAGUGGUCAAUAGUAGCAAUUUCUAAAAACACUGUAACUGAUCAGUGCAUGAAGCACUAACCUAAGCCAGCAGGACAGAAAGUAAAUUAAUGUGGGUUAAAACUCUGGAUAUUUACUUGAUAUGCUUUCUGUAGACAGUCUGGUCUAAUAUGAUGGAAUGAUCUGUCAGGGGAGGCGAGUCUAAUAAUAUUCUGGUAUUUUCUGUACAAUAUAAAAGUGCCCCCCCCCCGGUGAGAGACGAACCACACAUUCCUGACAGUUGCAAAAUGUCGUCUUGGCUAAGAAGAAAGAUAGCACAAAAGGUUUUAUGUUGAUUAUCGGGCACUAAAUGCUAUCACAAUAAAAGACACACACCUUUUGCCUAGAAUAGAUGAGACAGUGGACACCCUGGCUGGUGCCACUUGUUUUCAACACCAGAUUUAGCAUCCGGCUAUUGGCAGGUAGAGGAUGCCAGCCAAAGGUCUGCUUUUGUGGUCUGUAAUGGUCUAUAUAGGGGGAAAUGUAUGACAUUUGAACUCUGCAAUGCCCCUGCCACAUUUUGAGAGACUGGAGAAAGUCUUUUCAAGGUUGCAGUAGAAAUCCUGUUAAUUUACUUUGAUGACAUAAUUGUCUUUGGCAAGAGUGUUCCAGAGGAGAUUAAAUCCAAGUUGCGGGAGGCUGGACUAAGUUGUCCUCGCUUAUGUGAGUAGGAAGUUCAGCAAAGUGGAGAAGGAUUACUGUGUGACGAGGAGAGAACUUCUAGCAGUAGUAACCUACUGGAAAAAUUUCAGGCAGUAUUUGUACGGUCAGAAGGCCACAGUUUGAACGGACCAUGCUGCUAUGAAGUGGUUACUCCAGUUCAAGUACACCUGCAAAAUUUUGAGAAGAAAUUCUGAGUGAAUUGCAUGGAGGCAAGCUCGGUUGCCACUUAAGUGUGAACAAGACUGUGGCAAAGGUCAAAGUAAAAUACUUUUGGCCUGGACUUUGAGGGGAUGUGAGGUCAUUCAUCCACAGGUGUGCCAUGUGUGCACGAAGAAAAUCCCCCGCGAAAAAGCGAAGGGCUCCUUUGGAGCAGUGCUACAUAGGUGACCCAAUGGAGAGAGUGGCAUUAGAUUUGCUUGGGCCACUGCCCGUGACAGCUAGUGUUAAUACAGUCAAAUCCGAACACCUUUGUAAAACAGCCUCUUGUCCAUAGCGGCCACUUCUACAUGAUUCUGAUCGACAUUGCGCGUAAUUUGUUGGUCGCAGGUUUUAAUAUUGUGGCCUCUGUCCAACGCAGCCAGCAGACAGGCGUCUUGGAAUGGUGCGUGUACAUAAAUAUUGUGAGAGAACAUCCACAUUCCGGCCAAAGAAAAGUGAAGGGCGCCCUCUUGUGGUGCAUCAAAUUUGUAAAGUCAGAUACCUGGACUUUUUUUGUCGUGGUCAAGCAUGCCAACUACCUAGCCCGACACGUUCGGUCCCAGCACGGUGGUGCCGCCGGUGGAGAGGCUGAAGGAGCAGCGGGCGGUGUCCCAGUCAGACAGGUGUCACUGCAGAAGAGGAACUACCGUCGGAGGGGAGGCUGUACUUCGGAGGCAGAUGGUUUUCCGCUAGCAGUUUUCAGCUGGCCUGAGAGAAUGCAAGCCGACGGAGGAGUUCCGUCGGAGCAUUAGGGUAGACACAGAAACCCAAACGGAGGCCGUACUAAAGAGGGAGGAAUUCACCACGGUUACACGUGAGACGCUGGAGGAACCAUCGGGCCUGCGCACAUACAGGGAGACGGAAUCAGUCGGCCUCAGAGAGCCAGGAGAUAUUUGGUGGCGAACCUGGAACAGAGACAGUCUAAACGGUGAAUAGGCCAGAUAAACAAGAGACUUUGCAGUGGGUAGACCUCGCUGACUGUGGUGUUCUUGUUUGAUUUGGGAAUCAACUUGGGGCCUAAAUCAACGCUAACUAACAUUCUCGUGGACACCCAGGUAGGCCUAAGCCUUUUGAGAAUAAGUGAACAUUAAUAUUGUUGUUUUUGUGAUGAUUGUUUGACUCAAUUUCUGUGUUUCUUCUAAUUCUCCUUUUAAUCAAGACAGUCAUUUUUCUAAAUUGAGUGAAAUCUUAGAAAUGUGCCCUAUUCUGGAGAAUAGGCUUCUUCGUAGGAGGGGGUAGUGUAACAGACAUUUGUAAAGCCUUUUUCAUGUUUUAUUGCCAUGUUAAUCUUUUGUAGGCCGCCGGCGGCGCUGAGGGCCGCCGGCGGAGGGCCUCCGGCGGAGUGCCCUGACCUGUUUCUCUUGUGCUGUGUACGCACCUAAAUUGGUUUCUAUUUUGGGGCGUUGUGGUUUGGCGGGCGCGGGAGGGAAAUUGGAAAAGUGCCUGGGUGGCCUUAGAAAUUGUUAUACAAUUGUUAUGCAAUGUUAUACAUUGUGAUACAUGCUGUGUUUUGUAGAGCUCAAGUGUCACGUAGGCAGUAGUUGUUGUUCUGACGGCCGUGUGGAAGGUCAUGCACCGAGUUUGGUGAAUAAAACAACUAAAUUCUUUUUGGAAGUCCUGUAUCUGUCUCCCCUCUUUUGCGUUACCGGGUUUUGAGGGACAAUAGCACCCAGGUCUAUGCUACAGGAUAAAAUUUAUGCUGUCCCUUGUAACUCGACAAAAACCUGAGUGUCAUUUUCUCCUAUGUCUCGUCAACUUAUUAUAGACCGUCAUGUUAUCAAUUUUAUUUUUCUUAAUCUUGUUUUCAGGUGAUAAAGUACAUGACGUUGGAAAUAAAUGUUAAGUUUGUCAUUUAUGUAUACAGAAAAGCGAGACAGACAACAAGUCCAACCUAAUGGAGUUAGAAGGCCUUAUUAGGACAGUCAGAUGGCUUGAUGAACAGGGUGUAGACAUCGGGACAGUUUGUCACUGAUAGCCACAACCAAGUUACUAAGUACAUCCGUGAGAAGCUCAGACCCCGUGGAGUUAAGCACUUCUAUGACAUAUGGCAUGUUGCAAAGGUCUGAAAAAGAAGCUUACUGUUAUGGCAAAAAAAGACAAGAAAUACAGAGCUGGAUACAGGGCAUCGUUAACAACCUGUAUUGGGUUGCCACAUCAACAUCUGAUGGUGAUGGAGACUUGAUGUUGGCAAAGUUUGCCAGCAUUGUGAAUCAUGUCCUCAAUGUUCAUCAACAUGACAAUCUACUGUUUCCCCACUGUGCCCAUGGUGAUUUGGAGGAAAGGAAGUGGCUCAUCCCAGGUAUGAGGCUUUAUUACACAUGGAAAUAAUUAUGUGCAUCAGUUUGGCUGUAUAUUGCAUUUCAAUGCCAACAAACAUUUACAUUGAAUUUAUUUGUAUUAACCAAAGUAUUCUAAUGUUCUUUA